ACUCAAAUGAAUAGACGGGGACUCACACAAGCGGUGGACCAUGUGGCUUAAUUCGACAACAAACGAAGAACCUUACCAAGACUAGAAACCCAACUGACCAUCCUAUGAAAGUAGGACUUCGAAAGACAGUUGGGCAGGUGCUGCAUGGUUGUCGUCAGUUCGUGGCUUGAGCCGUUCCCUUAAUUGGGGUAACGAACGCAACCCUUGCCCUGUGUUUUAUAUGUCACAGGGGACUGCCCGGGAUAACUGGGAGGAAGGCGAGGAUGACGCCAAAUCAGCAUGGCCCUUGAUGUCUUGGGCCGCACACGUGGUACAAUGGCAGAUACAAUGGGAAUCCCAAACCGCAAGGUGGAGGUAAUCUCAUCAAAGUCUGUCUCAGUUCGGAUUGAGGGCUGAAACCCGCCCUCAUGAAGCCGGAAUCGCUAGUAAUCGCCAAUCAGCCAUGUGGCGAUGAAUACGUUCCUGAGUCUUGUACACACCGCCCGU
rnacentral:rRNA from 1 species